CGCUCGCUGUCAAAACGAUGGCCGUAGGAAGCGCGAUAGCAGCAGCGAGCCAAGUGACCUUCGUGCUGCCUAUCGCUUAAACGCAAGCUGAGCGGAGAGAACACAGCUCACACGAAUCUACGAGCCGUCGACGCACCUAGACCACUGGGUGGACAGCGCAGGGCUAGUUUCGGUAUCUGGCAAAUAGCAUCGCCUUAUUUCUGGUGGCCGAUACCCGCCGUGGUUGCUCAGUGGCUAUGGUGUUGGGCUGCUGAGCACGAGGUCGCGGGAUCGAAUCCCGGCCACGGCGGCCGCAUUUCGAGGGGGGCGAAAUGCGAAAACACCUGUGUACUUAGAUUUAUGUGCACGUUAAAGAACCCCAGGUGGUCGAAAUUUCCGGAGUCCUCCACUACGGCGUGCCUCAUAAUCAGAAAGUGGUUUUGGAACGUAAAACCCCAUAAUUUAAUUUUAAUUUCUGGUGGCCGACGGAAAAUUAAGUACAUUUUGCAUAUUUGGCUCUAACCUUGGGACUUACAAUAAUUAAAGUGUUUAAGAUCACGUAAUUAUGUGUAGAUAGAACAUGUUUCCUGAUGUUUUCUUUUCAGCGUUCUUUUUUUUUUUGUAUUUGGCCGGUUCAAUCGUUGCGUCAACAGGUGUGCCGCUAUCGCGGUUAUCGCUUCGGCUGUCAUUCUGUUUGCUCCUGGCGCUCUCUGCACACGUGCGCGCCUUUGACGUCUACUGCGCGCUGCAAGGUUUUCUUUCUGUAUCGGCCAGUGGUUCCAGCAAAGUAAGGAAAACAGAAGAAAGGCCACACGAGGCGUUCUGCGCGACUCUUACGUUGGCCCAAUGCGGGGAGGGACAGCAGGGCCAUAUUUUUUUUUUUUUCGCGUCCAAGAAAAUGAAAGUCCACAGCCCCAGCACGGACAGCUCCACCUCCCCUGAAUCUGUCUCGUCUGGGUCUGGGUGUGCGGACUGUGCUGUCUUUCAACUGGUCUUGCUUACUGAUAAUUAUUUCCAUAAGUAAUCGCAAAUAACUGUUGCGACCAGCGAUUUGCUUUUGCAAGACUGUUACAUGCAGAGCAAAAGAAAAUGACUUGCUAUUCAGAAAUUGUAAGACGCUUUUUUAUGCAUUGAUGCGCCUACACAAUGUGCAGUUUGUACUAUAGAUACGAGAUGCUCAGCUCUGUAAUAUUGUUUUCUGUAUUGCGUCUCUUGCUGUGCGAAAUUUCCUAAUCAAAAUGCAAAAUAAAGCACAUUUCACUGCUUA